rnacentral:rRNA from 1 species
AGAGUUUGAUCAUGGCUCAGGAUGAACGCUGGCGGCGUGCUUAACACAUGCAAGUCGAACGGAGACAUAUUUUGAAGUUUUCGGAUGGAAAGAUAUGUUCUUAGUGGCGGACGGGUGAGUAAUGUAUGAGCAACCUACCUUUAAGAGGGGGACAACAGUUGGAAACGACUGCUAAUACCGCAUAAUGCGAAUUUGCCGCAUGGCAGAUUUGCCAAAGGAGCAAUCCGCUUAAAGAUGGGCUCA